GCGCCGUUGAGGAGUCCCACAAUAGGACGAAACGGCCGUUCAGUGC
rnacentral:hammerhead_ribozyme from 1 species